rnacentral:misc_RNA from 1 species
GUAGGUGAACCUGCGGAAGGAUCAUUCAUAAUAAGUGUUUUACUGCACUUUUUAAAAAUAGUACUCACCUUGUGUGCAAUGUUGUGUUUCUUUUCGGAGAAACACCUACACCAACCUAUAACCUUGAACCACUUUGUCUGAAAAACUAUUAUGAAUACUUAAUUCAAAAUACAACUUUCAACAACGGAUCUCUUGGCUCUCGCAUCGAUGAAGAACGCAGCAUCUGACUGACUACGUGGUUACGUAUCUC